rfam:Ictidomys tridecemlineatus contig037792, whole genome shotgun sequence.
GGGGUUGUAGCUCAGUGGUAGAGCAGUUGCCUUGCACUCAUGAAGCUCUGGGUUUGAUCCUCAGCACCA